rnacentral:snRNA from 1 species
GUGCUUUUAGUUUGUUUGUUUUUAUCUUUUAAAAAACGGAGCACAUACACUAAAAUUGGAACGAUACAGAGAAGAUUAGCAUGGCCCCUGCACAAGGAUGACACGAAAAUUCGUGAAGCAUUCCAUAUUUAA